AUGUACCUACGGGGCGCAGCAGUGAGGAAUAUUGGUCAAUGGCCGAGAGGCUGAACCAGCCAAGUCGCGUGAGGGAAGACGGCCCUACGGGUUGUAAACCUCUUUUGUCAGGGAGCAAGGGGCGGGUCGAGACCUGCUGUGAGAGUACCUGAAGAAAAAGCAUCGGCUAACUCCGUGCCAGCAGCCGCGGGAAUACGGAGGAUGCGAGCGUUAUCCGGAUUUAUUGGGUUUAAAGGGUGCGCAGGCGGAGGCACAAGUCAGCGGGAAA
rnacentral:rRNA from 1 species